rnacentral:lncRNA from 1 species
GGAAAUCAGAGUCUUCUCAGGGGUUUCCCUCACACCCAGGGAUCUAACCUCCAAUUACUCUGUUUCUGCAAAAGCUUCCUAGUUCUACUUAAGAACACCCUCUGUUCUCUCCAAGUGCCUUGAAUUCCCCAGUGCCAGUGGGAAGCACAGAAAGAUGCCUGUCUCUAUGCAAUGUGGUACAUUGUGGGAAGCCUGCAAUGUCACUUCCCUCUAGCCCCAGAGAGUUUCUUUUUACGAGAAGAAUUAAACCACCAGUCUGCCUUCCAGUUUGCAAAAAAUGUUUUUUCACAUGCUGCCAAGAAAGAACGUGUUGCCAAGCCAGCUUAGUUGCAAUUAAAAUGUGAUGGCACCUAUCACAGAGAACUCCUCCGACGCUUCGCAAAGAACUGCACCAAGACUCACAAGCAGGAGCGGGUGCCAGCCCCGCUUCCACUGGAGCUGCACCCUCUGCCUUAUGAAGGGCCACACGGACCCUCCACUCUACAACAAACUUGAUGUAUAUUCUGGCCUUUAAUCUUCACAAUCCCUCAGGAGGUAGGAAUCAUUAUGUUUAUUUUACGCAUGAGGAAAUUGAGGGUAAAAGGGUUAAAUAACAUACCCAAGGUGACGCACCAACAGUCUGUGGAACCAGGAUCAGUCCCAAGCUGUCUGACUCUAAACUGCGUGCUUCCUGGCCUCCUGCCACUGUCCUGAUCUCGUACAGCUACGAACAAGCUGAGGUGAUUUCUCCCAAGCCUUUCUCCAGUGGCUCCUUGUGAUGCCUCAUGGCUGUAAUGGAAGAGGAAAACUAGAAUCUGUCCCACUGGGAAUAUGAGUCAGCUCAGCCAUGCAUAGGACUCCCCUGUGUUUUCUGAGCUAGUUUCAUGCGGGAUCAUUGAGAAUUCGUCACUGGCUGACGGUAAAUGAGCAUCUACUUAGCACGUUGCAGACAGUAGACUCUAAGUAUAACAUGCUCAUCUUCAUAGUAAUGCUGGAAGGCAGACAGCAUCCGGUCUAAUAUGUGAGGAUUCCCCUCUUCUCAGGUCGCACUCUCUAGCUACAAUCCAGGAUUGCUCCUUGACAUUUCAGCCUCACUCCUAUUUGAGGAACGACAUGAAUAUUUACUAAGUUGUUUACAUGCACCAGGAGCUUUAUGUACAGCAUCUUCUUAAUGCCUCCAUCAGCUCUAUGACAAUUGCCCAGAUAAGAGUGGCUAAGAAUCUUGUCUAGGGUCACACAACUCCUAAGGGUCAGAUAUGGAUUCUAACCCAGAAGGUCAGAUUAGAAAGCCACAUUUUUUUCACGGACAAGAUCAUUAGCUUUGGCAGAAGGCAAACCUGGUUGCUUGAAGUUUUAUGGCCCUACAACUUGUCCUCCUCAAGUUUCAGCAUCCACCUGCCCUGUGACAGGCUGCUGGAGACACCCUGGCUGGCUCUUCUGGCACUACUUGAGUGAGACAAUAGCUCACCUCUCCUCAGUAACCCAGAAGAAGCUCCAUUUCCCACCAGCAUGCUUGCUUCACACCUAGGUAAGAGAGGAUCACAUCAACUUCUAGACAAGGAGGGUCCUGGUGUCACCGAUGUUUACAUUGGAAACAGUGUCAAGAAACCCUGGGUGGGGACAAGGGAGAGAAGAGUGGCCAAGGUGUAGGGGGAGAUAAAUGAAUAAGCCAAGAAUGUUGUGUUCCCUCAAAAGUUUACUCUUGAAAUAGUAGUUCAAUACAGAAGUAAAGAAAACAUGAUUCUAUGUUAAUAAAAAUGGCUGACCUCAUCA